rnacentral:rRNA from 1 species
CCUACGGGAGGCUGCAGUGAGGAAUAUUGGUCAAUGGGCGCGAGCCUGAACCAGCCAAGUAGCGUGAAGGAUGACUGCCCUACGGGUUGUAAACCUCUUUUAUCAGGGAACAAAGUCCGGCACGUGUGCCUUUGUGUAUGUACUUUAUGAAAAAGGAUCGGCUAACUCCGUGCCAGCAGCCGCGGGAAUUCGGAGGAUCCGAGCGUUAUCCGGAUUUAUUGGGUUUAAAGGGAGCGUAGAUGGGUUGGUAAGUCAGUGGUGAAAAUAUGGGGCUCAAACGUAAAACUGCAUUUGAUACUGGCAGUCUUGAGUACGGGUGAGGUAGGCGGAAUUCGUGGUGUAGCGGUGAAAUGCAUAGAUAUCACGAAGAACUCCGAUUGCGAAGGCAGCUUACCAGACCGCCACUGACACUGAUGCACGAAAGCGUGGGUAUCGAACAGGAUUAGAUACCCGGGUAGUC